rnacentral:rRNA from 1 species
CUACGUAGGAUGCAAGCGUUGUUCGGAAUUACUGGGUGUAAAGGGCGCGUAGGCGGCUUGGCCAGUCACGGGUGAAAGCCCCCGGCUUAACCGGGGAAUUGCCCGUGAUACUACCAAGCUUGAGUACGGUAGAGGGUAGUGGAAUUUCCUGUGUAGCGGUGAAGUGCGUAGAUAUAGGAAGGAACACCAGUGGCGAAGGCGACUACCUGGACUGAUACUGACACUGAGGUGCGAAAGCGUGGGGAGCAAACAGGAUUAGAAACCCGUGUAGU